rnacentral:lncRNA from 1 species
UACUCCAUUUUUCAAUUUUCACGCUCUCAGAAUUCACACACGGGUCCCACUAGCAUAGACAAUACACCAGCCUACACAGUGAGACGAGGAAGGGAGGAGGGAAAAAGAUUAUCAUCAUCUUUGGAGAGACGCCAUUUUGGGCUCUCUUCUUUUCUUCUUUUCACAAUUCACGCACAAGAAACCAACACUAACAUAAAAUUUUACACACUAAAAAUCACACACCAGGAAAAUAGAGACUCUAUUUUUCCUCUCUCUUCGUCAUAAGCACACCCACACAGUGAGAUGAGGAAGAGAGGAAGAGCAGAUCAUUGGAAAAAAUGGCGUGAGAGAGAACUGAGAGAAGGAAAAUUUAGGACGAAAUAGAAAGAUCGAGAAAAGAGAGUUGAGAUCGAGAGAGAGGAGGGUAACAUGGAGCUAAGGGAACAUAAGUUUCGUAGUUUGGUUCCUGUUUCAGCGAUAGAUUCGCUGGAAACACGUCUAAGCCAUCACAAAUCUGUUCAAAACCCAUCAAAAUACGUCACCACUGGUAUUUCUUUAUCGAUUUCGGUCAUCGCAUAAGUUUACUGGAGUUACGGCGACACAAAAUAGUCAAACAAACCUCGAACUGCUUUCGAUUUCGUCCAAACCUGUAGGAAUUAGGCUGAAUUUCUCUUAUUUCUCAUGAUUUUUAGUUCAAGGUUGGGCGGGUUCAUCGGAAUCUGGUCCAGGUUUCUCUGUUUUGUGAUUCUUAAUUUCGAGUUGGAUGAAUUUGUUCGAUUGAGGUUCGACAUGAGAUUUUUGAGUGCAGACUCUCUUUAUCCGAGUAAUACUGAAUUUAAAAAAGCAUCAAAUUGAGGUCCAAUUCUAAUCUUUACCUUUUUUUGUUUCAUUGUUAAUGAUAUUCGAUGCAUUGAUUUCAAUAUUGUGUGUUGGUUGAUUAGUGAUGAUGUGAAUUAUUGCUGUUUUGAUUCGGUGUUUUAUUUCCUUGAUUAUGGAUUGGUUAUGGUUGUGGAUUGUUGAAAUGGUGAUUGCGAAUUGUGAAAAUUUAGUUUAAAAAGAAAUGUGGGGUUGGAUGGUAGCAAUUGAUAAAAAUAAAUAUUGUUUAAUCUUGAUUUAUUGUCGUUGGUUGUUUUGGAGUAAAUACGAAUGCUAAACGUGAUAGUAUCGUGAUAGGAUGAAAUUAGUAGGCAAAUGGUAGGCUGGGUAGGCAAAUUUAGGAAUAACGAUUUGUUGAGUGUUUGAAUAUGUGUGUGAAUGAUUCAUUCUAUUUUAUCACACAAAAAAUUAAAAUUGUACUCAUUCGGCCAGGAAAUGCCUCGAGAGAUAUGUAUUAAUUUAUUCAGGGAAUGCCCCGAAGUAUCAUGUACACAGAGGAGGCUCGUGAUCAAGGCCCGAGGCAUCGGUUAAGGCAUUGGGGCAUAGUUUUAGGAUUAGCUUAACAUAGGAUUUAUAUUUUUGCUUUUUUCUAUUUUUGGACUGUAUAAUCGGAUUGGACACUAUAUUUUGAAUUAUUUUGCUUUGUUUGUUUGAUUGAUUGUUU